rnacentral:lncRNA from 10 species
CUUUUCUUUUUCCUUCCAGGGUCCGAUAGUGCAAAGAUGGCUCCCGUAAGAGGCCCCUGUGCAAGCUGAGCCUGUGGCACUGUGGAAAGACUCCACACUUUGAAGUUAGACAGCACUGUGUCCAAAUGCCAAUGCCGCUAAUAAGUGCAUGACCCUCACUCGCCUGCUUGGACCCUCGGUUUUCUUAUCGCAAAAUGCAAUGAGUAAAAUAGUACCUGCCUAUUGAAGGAUUGAUUGAAGAAUUAAAUGGGUUAAGGUCCUUUGCACUUUGCUGCUCCAAGCAUGUCCUGGGACCAGCAGCAUAGGCAACACCUUUUAGAAAUGCAGGAACUCAGGCCCACCCCAGACCUACUGAAUCAGAAUCUGCUUUUUAACAAGUCCCCAGAUGAGGCAUUUGAAGCCCAGAGAUCACACAGCUAAAAAGCGAGGAAUAAGGCACCACUCAGCUUCCAGGAAGUUUGGGUAUACCGGACAGCAAAUGAAUAUCCAGCAGGGAACUGUUAGAGGCCACUGGCAACAGCCGCUGCCCCCUUGACUGGCUUAAUGAAGACUUGGCAUGCAGCAGAAGAGCCAGCAAACAGGACUGACGAGAUGUGCCUGUGCUUGAGCCAUCACCAACAACACCCAGCCAUGCCCUCCCCAUGCUGGUUUUGAUGACAUAAGGCCCACUGAACUUUGAAUGACUAGCUCACCUGGAAAGGCUCUGGCUGCCUCUGAGUGUCAUUGUCACCCUAUUGCCCAUUUCCUGACUCUGUUCCCUUCUCUAGCCCUGCAAGGCACUCAGGCUUCUAGAGGAUCUAGUGAGAUCACCUCGUGAUAUGGUAGGAUUUGUGUCCCCACCCAAAUCUCAUCUUGAAAUGUAAUCCCCAUAGUCCCCAUGGGUCAAGGGAGAGACCAGGUGGAGGUAAUUGAACCGAGGGGGCAGUUUCCCCCAUGGUGUUCUCAUGAUAGUGAGUGAGUUCUCCCAAGACCUGAUGGUUUUAUAAGGGGCUCUUCCACCUUCACUCAGCACUUCUCCUUGUGAAGAAGGUGCCUUGCUUCCCCUUUGCCUUCCGCCAUGAUUGUAAGUGUCCUGAGGCCUCCCCAGCCAUGCUGAACUGUGAGUCAAUUAAAC